ensembl:lncRNA
GAACAAUAAACAUAAUAUUAAAUGUGUAUCUCUGUGCCAUAGUAAAUAAAAAGUUCUGAAGACAUCUACUUCUGAAACAGAUACACAAAUAACAGAUUUACUGUUAUCAGAGGCUCAGUUUGUCACUUCAUGACUGUUUGCCUUUGGAGCAGGUCACUUAGUGCUUGUGGACCUCAGUUUACUCACAUGUAAAAGAACAACUGUUCAGUGACAAGCCCUUUCCAGGUGCCUCAGGCAUCAAGUUCAGUUAAACACUAAUUGGUUAGUGAAAGAUCAAAGCUAGGUGGAGAUGAUCUGAAGGAGAGUCUCCAGUGGCAUUUUAUACCCAUUUAAAGGGUUUAAUUUUUCAGACCGGCCUCAAUCAGUUUGAAACGUAAUAUAUUUUUUACAGGUGGUGCUAGUGGUAACGGAGAAGGCAAUGGCAUCCCACUCCAGUACUCUUGCCUGGAAAAUCCCAUGGACGGAGGAGCCUGGAAGGCUGCAGUCCAUGGGUCACUGAGGGUCGGACACGACUGAGCAACUUCACUUUUCCCUUUCAUGCAUUGGAGAAGGAAAUGGCAACCCACUCCAGUGUUCUUGCCUGGAGAAUCCCAGGGACGGGGGAGCCUGGUGGGCUGCCAUCUGUGGAGUUGCACAGAGUCGGACACGAGUGAAGUGACUUAGCAGUAGCAGCAGCACCUAGUGGUAAAGAACCCACCUGCUAAUAAAGAAGACGUUAAGAGACUCAGGUUUCAUCUCUAGGUUGGGAAGAUCCCCUGGAGGAGGGCGUGGCAAUCCACUCUGUGUUCCUGUCUGGGGAAUCCCAUGAACAGAGGAGCUUGGUGGGCUACAGUCCAUAGGGUCACAAAGAAACGGCAGUGAUUCUGAUUAAUGUGCAUUGUUUCAAGCAACUUAAAUAAAGAUGCACACAUAUUUCAAACUACUGGAGGCUUUAUUUUCAGCUUUUACAUGUGAAAUUGUCAACGCAAAAUUGUGGCUGACAAAAAAUGUGUUUCUGAAGAACAACCUCGUUGUUUAUAUGGCUGGCAGCCAAGUCUUCUGGGCCGAUGCUGCCGAAUGGGGGCUCAUGCUUAGAAGUAUUUGGCACAGCAUUUUUACUGACUUAAUUUUCUUUUCUUCUAGGGGAAACAAGUACCUGUUGUUCAAUCCCUUCUUUCCCCCGACUACUUUCAUCAUUGAGUCAUUCUUACAUCAAAAAGUCUAUUAUGGACACACAUUAAUCCCUGUUUCCCUUCUCUCUUUUGAGCUCUUAUCUAAUUACUCUGGGAGAAUGUCCCUUUUUCUUUUCAUCCACUUCAUUCAUUCAGCAGAUACCCACUGAAUUCCUACAUUGUCCCAGGCAUUCCUUACACACCUCUUCUUCCUUCAUUUUAUGUGUGAGUCAGAAAAUAGCUCUAAUCAUGGCUGAGUAUAAUAGUAGAUUGAAGCUUCUCUAUUUCCAGAUAAGGGGUUCUGAAAGACUAUUCCUUACUAAGCUUGCUCAUGAGCACGUUCAUUGUUACUAAGAUGUGUUUCUGUUCCCAGGCCAGUAUUGUAUUUCUAUGAAAUAAGAGCAUGGAACAGGUCUUUAAAACUAAGCAAAACAUCCAGUUGUUCCAAAAUGGAGCAAAUUCUGCUGCACUAAAAACUUUUAGAAAUGAAUUAAACUUCCCUCUUUGACAGAAUGCAUAAGGAAGGAAUGUCUUAAAUACAGUGUCCAGUUCCUGCCUUUCUGUCUGGUUUGUUGGGCAGAUAUGAACUAGCUUUGAAUCGUCCAUAACCAUGAAAGAAAUUUUAUCAUAAUUUCCAGCUACCUCAUGACUUUGAUGUGAAAAUUAAUGCAGUAAUGAAGAAGAUUCUCUGGGCUACCACUAGAGUAUUAGCUCUGUGUGGCACAGGCCUUUAUUCACUGCUAUAUUUUAUACAUAAUGGAAGGAUAGAUGGAUGCUCCUUGUUGUGACAUGUCACCACACUCAUGGAAUUCCACUUGAAAACAAUAAAGUAAAAGAAAGCUAAAUCCCAGUACAGAAAAGGUUGUUUUAAAUGCUCAGCCAGGUAAAUGUAUCACAGGUUCAAGCAAGUCUGCUAAGUGUUAAGAACACACUGCACAAUCUAUUUACCUCUUUUUCUCUGCCCCUGGAAUCCCUUUAACUAUAGGUCUUUUCUUGAAUGGUGUAUUUGUAUGGGUCUGUCUACCCAAUUUUCUCUCCUUUUGAGUUUCCCUUUGUCAUAAGGCGUAGUUUUUUUUUUUUAAUAAACAUAUAUAGAGUUAUGUGUAUAUUUAAUUGGCAGGGGAAGAUUCUGUUCCUAAGUCUAAAAAUAAGUAGGGUUUUUGUGUGUUUUUGUCUUCAAAAAGAACUCCUUGAGUUACUUUACCUUUGCAAUGCAUGAUUGAGUAUAUUUCCCCCUGUACUUCUUUAAUAGAAGGGGAAAAGCUUUCUGCUCCUGAACUAGGCUCCCAGCUUGGGAAGCAUUAUAAAAUUUGUCUUAGGUUCCAGCGGUUUUAUUUCUAGUAAUAUCCCUUGAUCAUUGUCUUUAAUUCUGGCUGCUAGUGCUUUUCACUGAGUUACCAUAGUUCAUUUCUUUAUUUGCUUCUAUGUUCAGUUAAGAACCUUUUCAAAAGAUUGCAUGAUUUUUCAACCAUCUAAAUGCAAAGAACCUCUGGGAAUAUAACAUAUCACACACACACGCACAAUAUAACACACACACACACACACACAUUCAUUUUUUAAAAGGCACACUUAUUUAAACAUCCAUAGGCCCUGAAGAGAUACUUGACUAGAAUAAAAGGAGGACCUUCACUCCAGAUUGCAUGGUAUCUGGCAGUCAGGAUAGCUUGUCAGUGGCAAAUGCUGAAUAAUCCCAGGGCUUCAGAUUAGGGGUACAGUCUCUUCCCGUUGUGUUCUUUCACUAUUUAUCUUGACAGGUGGCUUUCCCUUUAUCAACCUUCUCUUCACACUGCCUCUCUGUUAAGGAAAAGCUAUGUCAACCUCUGGGUGUUUCUUUUAAAAGAUAAAUAAAUGUAUGUGUAAUGCACAUGUUUAUAAGUAAUAGGCCUUUAUUUUAGAACAUUAGAAAAAGAGAAGACUUUAUGUAUUAUUUCAGUGGCUUUUUGAAUAUCUGUUCCCACUAGAGGGGAUUUUUUCCUUUAAUUUUAGUUCAUAGGUUUUAUGUAUUUAUUUUACAGAACUGCUAAAUAUAAGUGUUGAGGAUAUGAAUGUGUUUAGAUACACCUUUUAUAGUAGGGGUUAUCAAAUAUACACCAUUGUUUUUAUGUAACUUUCACAUAUGGCAGUGUCGAAAUUGAGUCUUAACCACUGGAAAAGUCCUAUUAGGUGAACUUGAUCAGGUGGGGAAUCACAAAUAUCCUACCAUAACUUUAAGAUGUGGCUUGUGCAGGUGUAGACAUGGUGUGUGUGUCCGUGUUUGUAUAUAAUGGAAUAUUACUCAGCCAUGAAAAAGACUGAAGUAAUGUCAUUUGCAGCAACAUGGAUAGACCUAGAGAUUAUCAUACUAAGUGGAGUACAUCAGAGAAAGACAAUAUGAUAUUGUUUAUAUGUGGAAUCUAAAACAUGACACAGAUGAACUUACCUGCAAAACAGAAAUAGACUCGCAGAGACAGAGAACAGAUUUGUAGUUGCC